rnacentral:rRNA from 1 species
GACGAACGCUGGCGGCGUGCCUAACACAUGCAAGUCGAACGGGAAGGCCCGGCUUUUGUGGGGUGCUCGAGUUGCGACCGGGUGAGUAACACGUGAGUAACCUGCCCUUGACUUUGGGAUAACUUCAGGAAACUGGGUCUAAUACCGGAUAGGAGCUCCUGCUGCAUGGUGGGGGUUGGAUAGUUUCGGCGGUUGGGGAUGGACUGGCGUCUUAUCAGCUUGUUGGUGGGGUAGUGGCUUAGCAAGGCCUUGACGGGUAGCCGGGCUGAGAGGGUAACCGGCCAAACUGGGACGGGAAUGCGGCACAGCCUAGUACGGGAGGCAGCAGUGGAGAAUAGUGCACAAUGGGCGGAGGCCUGAUGCAGUCAAGCCGCGUGCGGGAAGAGAGCAUGCGGGUUGGGUACCGAUUUCGCCUGUGACGAAGUGUGAGUGACGGUAACGGGUAAAGAAGCUCCGGCUAACUACGUG